GUAAAAGUUCUCUAAAUUUGAAUGAUUUUGGGGACAAAAGAAGCCACUAAUCACUUUCAUAAGAAGUUUUCAUUUAUGCUCCUUUUUUUUUUUUCUAUAGCUCAAAUUAUCAGACUGGAACAAGAUAACAAGAGUGGAAAGCAAAUUACCAAGGACAAGGCUGAAAGGAAAGAAUCUGGAAGAAAACCUGGGAAAGUAGGUUGGUAUGCACUCUUGCCCCACUUCCCUCCACCCCCACCCCACCAACUACAACAAAGUAGCAAAGUGCCUCUCACAGUGGCAGAAGAAAAGGACACUCUUGCCAGGACCUCCUUUGAUGAAGCUUUGAGUUCUACUAUUCUGCUUUAAUACUAUGUCUUAAAAAACUCUCUUGGACCCAAGACUUUAUCAUAGUACUCUAGUAUUCAUUUUAAUAACACCCUGCAUUUUCUCUUUAUGAUACCAACUGUAAUUAAAUAAUCAAUAAACUAAUUAUUUGUUAAAAGCCUAUGUGGCCAUGUGCCAUACAAGUUCAUUUACUUCACUCCCCUGUUCCUAGCACUAAGCAGAGUGCUCUGAUAUAGUUCUUCCUCUGCAAGCACUAAUUAAAUAGAAAAACUAAACGGGAUCUGUAUAUAAUCAGUUUACCAAUUUUUGAUAAAGUCAUUCUGAAAUGCCCUAUAAAAUGUGUCACCAUUCAAUGUUUUUGGAGUCAACUGAACUAGCAUUAGGAAAAAGUAAACUAACUCACAAGUGGGAUGUUCUUUUUUUCUUUUUUUUUCUUUUCUUUUAUUCUUUUUUUAUAUUUUUAAUUUUUUAAUAUAAAUUUAUUAAUUUUAAUUGGAGGUUAAUUACUUUACAAUAUUGUAUUGGUUUUGCCAUACAUCAACACGAAUCUGCCACACGUGUACACGUGUUCCCCAUCCUGAACCCCCCUCCCACCUCCCUCCGUGUACCAUCCCUUUGGGUCAUCCCAGUGCACCAGCCCCAAGCAUCCUGUAUCCUGCAUCAAACCUGGACUGGCGAUUCAUUUCUUAUAUGAUAUUAUACAUGUUUCAAUGCCAUUCUCCCAAAUCAUCCCACUCUCUCCCUCUCCCACAGAGUCCAAAAGACUGUUCUAUGCAUCUGUGUCUCUUUUGCUGUCUCGCAUACAGGGUUAUCAUUACCAUCUUUCUAAAUUCCAUAUAUAUGCCUUAGUAUACUGUAUUGGUGUUUUUCCUUCUGGCUUACUUCACUCUGUAUAAUAGGCUCCAGAUUCAUCCACCUCAUUAGAACUGAUUCAAAUGUAUUCUUUUUAAUGGCUGAGUAUACUCCAUACCACAGCUUUCUUAUCCACUCAUCUGCUGAUGGACAUCUAGGUUGAUUCCAUGUCCUGGCUAUUACAAACAGUGCUGUGAUGAACAUUGAGGUACACAUGUCUCUUUCAAUUCUGGUUUCCUUGGUGUGUAUGCCCAGUAGUGGGAUUGCUGGGUCAUAAGGCAGUUCUAUUUCCAGUUUUUUUAAGGAAUCUUCACACUGUUCUCCAUAGUGGCUGUACUAGUUUGCAUUUCCACCAACAGUGUAAGAGGGUUCCCUUUUCUCCACACCCUCUCCAGCAUUUAUUGCCUGUAGACUUUUGGAUCACAGCUAUUCUGACUGGCAUGAAAUGGUACCUCAUUGUGGUUUUGAUUUGCAUUUCUCUGAUAAUGAGUGAUGUUGAGCAUCUUUUCAUGUGUUAGUUAGUUAUCUGUAUGUUUUCUUUGGAGAAAUGUCUGUUUAGUUCUUUGUCC
rnacentral:lncRNA from 1 species